UUUUCUUUUGAUUUUGGAUUCACUUAUCUAUCUAUUUUUGUAUUCGACGAAGAAAGGAAUGACAAAGAAAUAAAAGUUGAUAAUUCUAAAUCCAAUUUAGUUUCAAUUAAUAUAUUACCGGAAAAUUGAGGUAAUACAAACAAAACAAGGAUUUCAAACAAUUUUUCGAAUCGCAGUACAGUAUUUUGGUUUUCAUUUAAGUAUCUUAAAUGAUAUUGUUGCCGCCAACCUAACUAUUCUAUUUCCAUUUCCGGUCUUACUCUCUUAAUAUUAAGAAUGGAAUUGAAUUAUUUAUUCAAUUCCAUUGAAGCCUGUACCAGAUUUCGAGUUUCGCGAAGGACAAAUCCACCUUUUCUUUUAUUCUUUCUCUUUUCUAACUUAUUCUAUUUGAUUCGAAUUCUAAAAAAAAAUAGGAGGAAUUUUCGAUAUUUUUUUCGAUUUCGAAUCCUCUUCACCGCUUCCUGUGACAGUAACUAUAAUUAAAAAAAGGGGAAUAUCAAUGCAUCCAGAAAAAAACGAUUGAUUUCGAUCAAUAGACCCGCUAAAGCUCCGAACCAUAGAGUACUUAC
rnacentral:lncRNA from 1 species